AGGCUGCGGGGUGUGGACUAAACCACUGCGCUCCACACCCACGCGUCCCUCUCUCUCUCCUCCCGGGGUAGGGAGAUGGGGACGGCGAUGCCAGCAGGCAGCCGCAGGGCUGGGAAUCAGGAUCGCUGCCUCCCCUCUACAGUUGGGUGUAGGUAGGAUUUACAUGAUUGCUCCUCACCGCUUCCUCUUUAAUGGGCAGCUAAUUUUUCGGGAAUUUUGAUAAUAAUCUUAUCCUCAGAAUGAAGAAGCCCAGCAGCAAGACUAUCAUACCUAGGAGUACAUAAACAUUUUUCUUCCCUUUGAGAGAAUGAGUUUGGAUCUCAGGUCUGAAAAAGACUCACAGGAAAUAGAGACUAACUCACCCUGUUGCCGAGAUCCAGCCAAAAGUGCUUUUUAUUGCUGCAGUCUGGCCAACUUUGUGCAAGUGUAACUUAAAAGUCAGCUCCUACAACAGGAGGAACCAAGGAGAAGGUACCAGCAAAACAAAGACACUGGUGUUGUGAAAACCUGGCUUACAUUUCUGGAAAAAAGCCAGGUUGCAUCUGCUUAACAGUGAUGCACAAACUCCCUCCAAGCCAAGACCAACAAGUUUUCAGAUUUGGAUAACUCAAGUCUGAAGAAGUGUUGCUGAGGUUUGGAAAUACAUCUGAAGAUGAAGUGAACACCCAUGCACAGGGCUGUUUCCAGCUCAUCUUCCUUAAAGAAUUGUUUCCAGUGAAAAUCUCUCCUGUGCCACAGGACUCACUAUCCCACACUGUGGUUACUUAAAGCAUGCACAAGGUUGUCAGGGAAGUUGUCAGUGGAGGUUGAACUGACAUGCCUGAAGUUGGCAGAUACACUUUAGGCACCCCUACAGUCUUAUGCCUCUUAAUUUAAACUGUGUUCAAAGUGGGCAUAAUCCCUGCAGCACAAUGCAAGUGUGCCAUAUUCCAUGGGAAAUUCAUUCCCUGGCCAAGCAGAAUAUUACCAAUCCUAGCUAAUGAGUUGUAUGUACAGCAAAAUGUUGACCAAAUUCAGAAAAUUAAUUAUAAGUAACUUUGAUCAGAGAGGAAGAGACACAAGGAGAGGAACACACACAUCAGAGCUUAUUCCCAGUGGGGUUGUUUGAGAAGGAAUCAGGCAACAACUUCAGUGGCAGAAUAUUGAAAACUGGCCUGGAGAAUUAAGACUGCUAAAAUAUUUAGAGCUCAAGAGUAGAAAUUACAAAUUAUUUGUUACAUUCAUAACAUAUUUCUUGGAUUUCAAGUGGCACAAGAAACACAAAGUCAUCUGAUACUUGAGAAGCAAGGCUUAUAGAACACAGUCUUCAUGAAAGUAGCAAAUUCAUAUUAUUAUUUUAUAAAUGCUCCAUAGAAAGUGGAGAGUUUGGAAAUUAAAGGGAAAUUACAGUGGUCUGAGGAUACAUACAACUGAAUAAUUAUGAACUCCACCGAAAAUUAUUCCAUUGAAAACCAAUUAACAGCCUUGUCUAUACAUCUCUUUCAA